GUUAUCGUCUGCUACUUUGUUUGUCCGGUUAGGAGAGAAUUCGUCGAUGAUGCAGGACAGGGGAGAAAUAUACAAUUUGAGGACAAGUUUUGCAGCGUAAGGGUGUGGCAUCUGCGCCACGCAAAUGAUCUUUAUUAAAGCAUUGGCGUCAGGAGGUGGAGACGGUAUCAUAAAAUUGUCAGAUUUUUGUAUCUAUAAUCGCAAAUGUUGGCGAUUUUGUUUUGCUUUGACGGGGCCCGUCUCCUGGUUUGCGUGCGCGUCAUCGGCAGGAUGAGGUCGUAUUUUUGUGUCUGCUGGUUUGCCUGUCAGAUUCUCAGGAAUUCAUUGGAAAAAAAAACGGAAUUGUGGAAAUUAUACAAUUUGGAGACGGAUUUUAAUUCUUUUUAAUUUGAUGUCAGCUCCGGGAUAAUGAUCCUUGUUAGUGCAGUGGCAUCAGGAGGUGGAGACGGCGUUGGCUCGUCUUCUCUUGUUGGUUGCUUUGGAUCACCAGUUGGCUGUGUUUAUUGAGGUUUAGCGUCUCUAAUGUAGGCGCUCGUCGAU